AGAGUUUGAUCCUGGCUCAGGACGAACGCUGGCGGCGCGCCUAACACAUGCAAGUCGAACGGAGCUGAGAGGAGCUUGCUUUUCUUAGCUUAGUGGCGAACGGGUGAGUAACGCGUGAGUAACCUGCCCUGGAGUGGGGGACAACAGUUGGAAACGACUGCUAAUACCGCAUAAGCCCACGACCCGGCAUCGGGUAGAGGGAAAAGGAGCAAUCCGCUUUGAGAUGGCCUCGCGUCCGAUUAGCUAGUUGGUGAGGUAACGGCCCACCAAGGCGACGAUCGGUAGCCGGACUGAGAGGUUGAACGGCCACAUUGGGACUGAGACACGGCCCAGACUCCUACGGGAGGCAGCAGUGGGGAAUAUUGCACAAUGGGGGAAACCCUGAUGCAGCGACGCCGCGUGGAGGAAGAAGGUUUUCGGAUUGUAAACUCCUGUCGUUAGGGACGAUAAUGACGGUACCUAACAAGAAAGCACCGGCUAACUACGUGCCAGCAGCCGCGGUAAAACGUAGGGUGCAAGCGUUGUCCGGAAUUACUGGGUGUAAAGGGAGCGCAGGCGGACCGGCAAGUUGGAAGUGAAAACUAUGGGCUCAACCCAUAAAUUGCUUUCAAAACUGCUGGCCUUGAGUAGUGCAGAGGUAGGUGGAAUUCCCGGUGUAGCGGUGGAAUGCGUAGAUAUCGGGAGGAACACCAGUGGCGAAGGCGGUCUACUGGGCACCAACUGACGCUGAGGCUCGAAAGCAUGGGUAGCAAACAGGAUUAGAUACCCUGGUAGUCCAUGCCGUAAACGAUGAUUACUAGGUGUGGGGGGACUGACCCCUUCCGUGCCGCAGUUAACACAAUAAGUAAUCCACCUGGGGAGUACG
rnacentral:rRNA from 1 species